GGCAGGCUGGUCUCACUGCUUUUCUGCCGUCCUGCAGCCAAGCCUCGUUGGAGCCCACGGUCCGCAGGGGGCUUGGUGCGGUGGACCCAGUGACAGCCGUGGCCCUGGUGAGCUGGGGGGGCAGCUCUCCCCCAAAUGGUCACCUCUCUUUCCCAAUGGUGGAUUUGUUUCCAUCCCUUGACCUGGAGCUUCUCUGCCCAUCCAGGUCCCUGAACUCCGCUGGUGCGGCCCGGCCUCCUGUGGCUGAGGAGGGACUGCUGAGGAAGGAAGCCCCUCCUGUCCGAUCCUCCCUCACUCCUUUGGACCCCACGUUGCAGCCAACGGUGUUCUUAGCAUCUUGGCAAAGGCAAAGGAUCAGGCUGGGACCGGGUGGCUCAGUCUGCACAUUCCAGCUCCUCUACCCCCAGACCGCCUGGAAACAGGAGCUGAGCCUCCGCCCCACGGUAAGUUCUCAGCAGGAGAGCAGAGCUUUGCCAGUCCUCAAGCCCCAGGCACCCCACCAAUAGGAUAAUUCUUGUAAAGGUGACCCGGGGAGCAGCAAUCUACUUUGGAAGCAGGGCACCCUCUCUGAGCUCCCCCUUAGAGCUUAGGGCUGAAGCUGAAGGUCCACGCAGUACAGGGCACAAUCCCCCCAGGAAAGCUUCCCUAAAACAGCCGAGGACCUGCUUGCGGACCGUGAAUUUGGGGGAAUGCCAUUGUAUCGGGAUCAUCUAGGAUUUGGUUUAGGGGAAGGUUUGCUAGCCGGAGAGGGAUCCCCUGCUUUAGGGUAUGAGAAACAGGAGCAAGGGAAGGGACCCCACGACUCUUGGAGGAUGCCCCCCCCCGCCCUGAUCUCUUUACACUCAGGUGCAUUCACUGUCCCUCUGUCCUGCCCGCGCCCCCUGCCCACCCC
rnacentral:lncRNA from 1 species